UCAGGAUGAACGCUAGCUACAGGCUUAACACAUGCAAGUCGAGGGGUAGCAGGGUAGCAAUACCGCUGACGACCGGCGCACGGGUGAGUAACACGUAUCCAACUUCCCAUAACUCAGGGAUAGCCUUUCGAAAGAAAGAUUAAUACCUGAUAGUACUUUUUCAAGGCAUCUUGAGAAAGUUAAAGAUUUAUUGGUUAUGGAUGGGGAUGCGUUCCAUUAGAUAGUUGGUGAGGUAACGGCUCACCAAGUCUUCGAUGGAUAGGGGUUCUGAGAGGAAGGUCCCCCACAUUGGUACUGAGACACGGACCAAACUCCUACGGGAGGCAGCAGUGAGGAAUAUUGGUCAAUGGGCGAGAGCCUGAACCAGCCAAGUAGCGUGAAAAGGAUGAAGGUCCUAUGGAUUGUAAACUUCUUUUAUAGUAGAAUAAAGUGGUCCACGUGUGGAUUUUUGUAUGUAUACUAUGAAUAAGGAUCGGCUAACUCCGUGCCAGCCGCCGC
rnacentral:rRNA from 1 species